GUUCAGGAUGCGAUAUGUUACUGUAAUUCAAAAACAAUCCUUCCAGGGCCUUUGGCAAUUGGCACGGGUUGCCAUGCAGCAGAGGAUGUGCCGGGUUGUGCCAUGCAGCCACGCUGCCAGCAGCAGGAAGCAGAUCUGCAGCCACACGCUGGGCUGAGUCACUCUGUGUUGGUUUCCCUGACGUUCCCUGGCGAUGCAGGCAGACCUUCCUGGAGGGUGACACACAAACAUCCUCCCCGGGGUCGUGGAGCGGCAAUGCCACCUUCCAAGCCAUCUAUAAAAAUAGAGUCGUUUGUGAUCCGCGUUUUGUCCCACCAAUCGGAGCAUCUGCGGCCUUCUGUGUCUUUUCUGGGACUGUGUUUUAUUUCUCAGGCAUGGAAACGCAAGCCAAAGUCAACUGGAAACUGUUACGGUCUUGAUGAGAAGUCAGCCUACUGCUAACUUUGUUUACUGGAGUUGACUCCUUUGCUCAGCUGGUUGGAGUUGGAGACGUCGGCCCCAGGAGAGCCUCCGGGACGGAGGGCAGUGCUGGCUGCAGGCAACGGCUGUCUGAAGGGAGAGUCUGGGAAAUGGAGCUUGCCACCUCUGAGCUCAGCAGGCCCCACACCAGCAGGCUGCUCCGUGGGGAGGAGGAAGGAAGCUGUAAGCAGGGCCGGGCUGCGGGCUGGCUCUGUGCUGGGGGCAGCCCUGUGCCACGCUGCCGCCCAUGGUGUUCCUCUGAGCCUAUCUGCUGCUUUGUGUAUGAUAAGCAGGUUUCAAUGACGUGAAUGUUUCUAGGUUUUAAGAUGUGAUUUAAUAAAAAGAGACGUUUCUGGGAAAGCAGGUUUUUCUCUCUCUUUUUUUUCCUUUCCUUUUGUUCUCUGGCUGAGUUCGUAAGCCCAGGAAACGCCACUUGGCAGAAGUGUGCGCUGUGCCAGCAGGGAGGGAGGAACCGCGCCAGGCACCUCCAUGGCAGCAGAGGGGGAAACGCUGAGGAGAGCAGAGCGGAGCUCUGUGGGCACAGCCGGGGUGAGCAGCGUGCCCUGGGGGCA
ensembl:lncRNA